rnacentral:rRNA from 1 species
GUCUACAGCCAUGCUACCCUGAACAAGCCUAAUCCUGUCUGAUCUCAGAAACUAAACAGGGUCGGGCCUGGUUAGUACUUGGACGGGAGACCACCUAGAAAGAUCAGGUGCUGUAGGCA